rnacentral:sRNA from 1 species
UUAGCCUGCGUUAAGGAUUGUAGCGGAAAUCCUUUUUAUGUCAGUUCGAGAGUCGCGCCAAAGCGUGAUGUAUCGAGAACAAAUAAAAAGAUUGUAGUGCAAAGCCUGACCU